UUUACAUUAAGUUUACUUGUUGUGAAAGAAAAUAUAUUAAUAUAUUUAAAAAAUAUUUUUUAGUUUUUGUAUUUAUUAAUAAUAAAAUUUUUUUGGUGAUAAAAUAUUUGUACUGUGAAGGUUUAUUGAAAUAUUAUUGAAUUAUUAAUUAAGUUUAUUUUAAUUAUUGUACCUUGUGUAUCAGGGUUAAUUAACAAUUUAUUAUAUACUGUAAUAUUCUCGAUUUCAUGAGAGCUAAUUUAUUAUUUUAAUUAUUGUUUUAUAAAUAUUAAUAACAAUAAAUUAGUAGUGAGAUGUUAAUCGUUUAUGAGGAUAUCUAGUUUUUUGGGAAAUAAAUUUAAUUUACAUUUUUUCUUUAAUCUUUUUUCUUUUUAAUAUAAUUUAAGUUUAAAUGAAUAGUAAAGGGGAUAAGCUCUUUUUUAGAUUUUCUAUAAAAUAUAAUUUAUUUAAUUGAAUUAUGUGGAUUUAAUAUUGAUUAGCAUUAUAAAUAUGUUAUAAUUUUAUUUAUAAAUUAUUACUGAUUUUUAUAUUUUUAGUUUUUUACCAAAAAUUUUUAGUAAAUCUUUUUUUAAUUUUAAUUAUGAUUAAAUUAGUAUAUUAAUAUAAUUUAUUUAAUUUUUUGUUUAUGAGUAAAUUUGAGGAAUUAGGCAAAAGGACUUAYUCGCCUGUUUAACAAAAACAUCUUUUCUUGUUUUUUAUAURAARUAUGACCUGCCCAAUGAAUAUUAAAUGGCCGCGGUAUAWUGACCGUGCAAAGGUAGCAUAAUCAUUAGUUUUUUAAUUGGARGCUGGAAUGAAUGGUUGGACGARAUAAUAACUAUCUUGAUAUUAAUAAAGUGGAAUUUAAUUUUUGGGUUAAAAAGCUYAAAUUUUUUUUUGGGACGAGAAGACCCUAUAGAGUUUUAUAAUUUAUAUAAUUAUAAAUAUUUGUUAUUUUUAUAAUUAUAUCAAAUUAUUUUGUUGGGGUGAUGUAAAGAUAUAAUAAACUCUUUUUAUUUAUUGUUUAUAAAUUAAUAUUUWUUUGAUCCWUUKUUWNUGAUUAWAAGKUUAAAUUACCUUAGGGAUAACAGCGUAAUYUUUUUUGAGAGUUCUUAUUGACAAWRRRGRUUGCGACCUCGAUGUUGGAUUARGAUAAWUYNNUWWGGUGYARAAGCUWUARAUAUNAGGUCUGUUCGACCUUUAAAWUCYUACAUGAUCUGAGUUCAAAYCGGYGURAGCCAGGUUGGUUUCUAUCUAUUAAUAGAUUUAUUAUUUUAGUACGAAAGGACCAAGUAAUAAAAAUAAUUUUUGUUUACUGAAUAAUAUUAAUAUUUGCUGUUUUGGCAGAUAAGUGCAA
rnacentral:rRNA from 1 species